rnacentral:rRNA from 1 species
AUUGAACGCUGGCGGCAGGCCUAACGCAUGCAAGUCGAGCGGGGUUUUCGGACCUAGCGGCGGACGGGUGAGUAAUGCGUAGGAAGCUACCCGAUAGAGGGGGAUACCAGUUGGAAACGACUGUUAAUACCGCAUAAUGUCUACGGACCAAAGUGUGGGACCUUCGGGCCACAUGCUAUCGGAUGCGCCUACGUGGGAUUAGCUAGUUGGUGAGGUAAUGGCUCACCAAGGCGACGAUCCCUAGCUGGUUUGAGAGGAUGAUCAGCCACACUGGAACUGAGACACGGUCCAGACUCCUACGGGAGGCAGCAGUGGGGAAUAUUGGACAAUGGGCGCAAGCCUGAUCCAACCAUGCCGCGUGUGUGAAGAAGGCCUUCGGGUUGUAAAGCACUUUCAGUAGGGAGGAAGCGUUGUGUGUUAAUAGUACACAGCGUUGACGUUACCUACAGAAGAAGCACCGGCUAACUCUGUGCCAGCAGCCGCCGCCGUAA